rnacentral:rRNA from 1 species
UACGUAGGGUCCGAGCGUUGUCCGGAAUUAUUGGGCGUAAAGAGCUCGUAGGCGGUGUGUCGCGUCGGAUGUGAAAGCCCGGAGCUUAACUCCGGGUCUGCAUUCGGUACGGGCAUGCUGGAGUUCGGUAGGGGAGACUGGAAUUCCUGGUGUAGCGGUGAAAUGCGCAGAUAUCAGGAAGAACACCCGUGGCGAAGGCGGCUCUCUGGGACGGUACUGACGCUGAGACGCGAAAGCGUGGGGAGCGAACAGG